GGGAUUGUGGCUCAGCGGGGUAGAGCGCUCACCUAGCACUGGAGGGACCUGGGUUUGACCCUCAGCAUCACA
rnacentral:tRNA from 1 species